CUUGCUUUCUUUGCUGGCGACCGGCGCACGGGUGAGUAACACGUAUCCAACCUACCCUUUACUCGGGGAUAGCCUUUCGAAAGAAAGAUUAAUACCCGAUAGCAUAAUGAUUCCGCAUGGUUUCAUUAUUAAAGGAUUCCGGUAAAGGAUGGGGAUGCGUUCCAUUAGGUUGUUGGUGAGGUAACGGCUCGCCAAGCCUUCGAUGGAUAGGGGUUCUGAGAGGAAGGUCCCCCACAUUGGAACUGAGACACGGUCCAAACUCCUACGGGAGGCAGCAUG
rnacentral:rRNA from 1 species